rnacentral:lncRNA from 1 species
AUGGUUAGGCCGCCUCUGCCAACCACAAUCCAGCUGCCUCCGGGUUUCACUAUACCACCUGAAGAGUCUACCAGUGUUGAGAAAAUCUCUCUUGAACAGCCAGCACCCUGUUCCCCACGGACAGCAGCCACUUCAGCUACUGAAAGUUAUACCUCAUGCUGCCUUUGGGAAUAUUCCCUUUGCUGUCACGAACAAGAUUAUGGGACCAAGGUAACCCAACAAUAUAGGCUCAGCCAUCAGAUCAAGUGCAGCCCAGCCUCCUCUGGUGAAGGUGGCACAGUUACACCAGAGUUCUCAACUGAAAGAGAAUCAGGAAUUACAGAUAUACCAGCUGAGGUGAUGACCUUUAUUUCUUGAGCAGCACAGACUAGAUUAAGAACAGUUAUUGAAAAAGUCACAAUAAUAAUACAGCAUUGAAUGGAAUCAUACAGAGUAAGUACGUCCCAAAGAGGCUAAAUCUGGUGAAAUAUCUUGAAAGAUAAUAUAUUUGGUAAACACAUUUGGUCAAUCUCACCCUCCUUUCCUCCUGUCCAC